rnacentral:lncRNA from 1 species
CAUGAUCUCUUCCAGAGGAUGCCACAGAGUCAGGGGAGGCACACUUCAGGUAACUCGAUAUAAUAAACAGCACACUGGCUUAUUCAUACUGAUAUUUAAAUUAAAAGGUGACCUGAGGAUUUUCUUGGAAAGCAAAAAAAGCAAAACAAACCAUACUCUUAGAGGGGAAAAAAUUUCCAUUUUGCCCUUCUUGCUUCCUCCUGCUUGCUGGUAGUUUUUAACUUAUAAUGAAGGACAGAAUUCUUGUGUCUGUCCUCUAUGUCAUAUUUUUGGCUUUUUGUAGGCAAUUACUAUUCCCCAGGUUGGUUAAAAAGACUGAGCAGAUGGCUCACUUUGUGUGAAACAUGCCUUUUUUUGUAACAGGCAGGAAACCCUGGCACUUCCUUUUCCCUUGACCUGGAAGGGCUUCUCCGAGGUGGGGAUUAAGGAAUGUUGCAGCUCCACUUAAUUUCUAAAAUGGCCAUUACUGUAGAUAAACUGGUAGAAGCUAAAAAGAGAACUUUCAUCCUGUUUAGUAACUGUUAGGCUUUAAAUUUGGCAGGGUAAAGAUUGUGUGAGGUUGGUUUGCUUUUUAGUGGCCACAGCUUCUAAUAAACUGACUUAACAGUUUGGAACAUAACUGUAUCAGCCAUGAAGUUUGCUUUUAUUUAAUAUUAAUUAUAUGUUUAGCAUUUUCUUGAUCCUCUUGGGAUAUCUUAUUUAGUGAGACAAAACCAGCAUACACUUAAUAGUCGUGGAACAACGAAUGGUUAUACUUUGUAGUCCUCACUGUUGAGGGAGCAGAGAAAGACCAGUGUAAUUGGACUACUUAAAGGAAUGCACACUCCAAGGAGCAGAGAAAGUUUGAAGUAGGCUUUGAGCUUGGACUGGACAUUAACAAGGCAGAAGAAAGACAUUUUAGGUUGAAAAUUGGGAAUACCCACUGCAAAAUGAAGUGCAGUGGCUUAAAUUUAAGAGAUUAUAUUCCUACGUAUUUUAAGAAAUACGGUAGUAAGGUGAAAUGGAGAUUCAUGGUCCAACAGAAAGUUUAGACUUGAAAUCAGCCAUUGUAUAGCUCAAGAUCAAUGCCUGGAGAGUUGGCUCUGUGCUUAAGAGCACUGGCUGUUGUUUCAGAGGACUGGGUUCAUUUCCUAGCAUUUAUGUGG